AGCGAACGCUGGCGGCAGGCUUAACACAUGCAAGUCGAGCGCUCGUAGCAAUACGGGAGCGGCAGACGGGUGAGUAACACGUGGGAACGUACCUUUUGGUUCGGAACAACACAGGGAAACUUGUGCUAAUACCGGAUAAGCCCUUACGGGGAAAGAUUUAUCGCCAAAAGAUCGGCCCGCGUCUGAUUAGCUUGUUGGUGAGGUAACGGCUCACCAAGGCGACGAUCAGUAGCUGGUCNGAGAGGAUGAUCAGCCACAUUGGGACUGAGACACGGCCCAAACUCCUACGGGAGGCAGCAGUGGGGAAUAUUGGACAAUGGGCGCAAGCCUGAUCCAGCCAUGCCGCGUGAGUGAUGAAGGCCCUAGGGUUGUAAAGCUCUUUUGUGCGGGAAGAUAAUGACUGUACCGCAAGAAUAAGCCCCGGCUAA
rnacentral:rRNA from 1 species